CAAUCACAAGACAGGAUUUUAUUCUUCUCUGUAACAAUAAGGUUCCAAACAAGUGUUUGGCAGAGGCACUGUGGGCACUGCUGUGGGCACAGCCACGGUGUUAGAGCAGUGCUGUAUGGUAGGCUCCAGUUUUUGGGGGUAGCAGCUGACCCUUAGCCACAGCAGCUGGGAGUGGAUCUGUUGUUGCCAGCUGAGCCUUUGGUUUGAAGCAAGUCUGAGGAGUGUUGAGCUUUUCCCUGUGAUUCCAGCUGACCACAAACCAUGAGGAUUCUCUACCUCCUGCUUGUUGUUCUCUCAGGGAUCUCCCUGUUUACCUCAGCAAAUGGCCAGCGCAUGACUCGAGAUCUCAGCCACUGCCUAGAGAGAGGUGGGACAUGCCGAUACAAUGACUGCGAUGAUGGUGAAGUGGAGAUUGGCACCUGCUAUCAUCAUACCAUGUUAUGCUGCCAGGAUUAGGAGGCAAUGCUGUCCCAGAGACAUCCCAUUUUGAGAUGUACAACAGCCACCGAAACCUCCCCUCUUCUUCUUUUUUAAGUAAAAAUAAACAGUUCUUUAA